rnacentral:rRNA from 1 species
ACGCUCGACACCUACGGAGGCAGCAGUGGGGAAUAUUGCACAAUGGGGGAAACCCUGAUGCAGCGAUGCCGCGUGAAGGAAGAAGUAUCUCGGUAUGUAAACUUCUAUCAGCAGGGAAGAAAAUGACGGUACCUGACUAAGAAGCCCCGGCUAACUACGUGCUAGCAGCCGCGGUAAUCUGAGCGGGCUGGCAAGGC